rnacentral:lncRNA from 1 species
UCUUGGGCACCAAACCUGCAGCUUCUAACUCCAUUUUUCAGCACAACUAAACCCUAGGAAGGAGAAGGAAAAAUCUCUCUUUCUUUCCUUUAUUUUCUAUUUCUACUCCGCCAUCAUCGCCAACACUUGAAUUUUCAACUUCAAAUCUCCAUUUUUAAGGCUAAAAGGUAUAUAUUUUCAACUCUUGAAAUUUAUGAAUUUAUGGGUUAUAUUUUCAGAUUUUAUUUCCUAAUUUCUUCAAAUUCCUUUUCUUGGAAAUAUUAGGCUUUUGUUGAUCUUUAUGCCUCCAAGCUCACCAAGGUAAAGAACUUUUAAAUUGGAAUAGUUGAUAUGAUGGGUUUGAGAAUUAGACUAGAAUUUUAGGUUAAAAAUUAGGCUAAAAUGUAGUUUAUCAAGCGUAUGAUUAUUUGAAUUAUUAAGUUUAAAUUUAUGAUAUAUUUGAAGCUAUUAUCGUUUAUUGGCAAUUAUAGGUUUUAAUGGUAUUUCGGGACUACCUGGAUUAAGAUUUUGUUAGGU